rnacentral:rRNA from 1 species
UACGUAGGGUGCGAGCGUUAAUCGGAAUUACUGGGCGUAAAGCGUGCGCAGGCGGUUUUGUAAGCCAGAUGUGAAAGCCCCGGGCUCAACCUGGGAAUGGCAUUUGGGACUGCAAGGCUUGAGUGCGGCAGAGGAGACUGGAAUUCCUGGUGUAGCAGUGAAAUGCGUAGAUAUCAGGAGGAACACCGGUGGCGAAGGCGGGUCUCUGGGCCGAUACUGACACUGAGGAGCGAAAGCUAGGGGAGCAAACAGG